rnacentral:rRNA from 1 species
UACAGCGGUCCCAAGCGUUGUUCGGAUUCACUGGGCGUAAAGGGUGCGUAGGUGGCAGGGUAAGUUUGAUGUGAAAUCUCCGAGCUUAACUCGGAAACUGCAUUGAAUACUAUCCUGCUCGAGGGUUGGAAGGGGGACUGGAAUUCCUAGUGUAGCGGUGAAAUGCGUAGAGAUUAGGAAGAACACCAGUGGCGAAGGCGACUUACUGGACUGUAACUGACACUGAGGCAUGAAAGCGUGGGGAGCAAACAGG